rnacentral:rRNA from 1 species
UGAAUACCAGACGCUACGGCGUUGAAGCAGUGUAUGUCAGACUUCCAAGAAAAGCUCGCAAUGUCCGAAAUAAAAUAAUGCCUGUACCAUAACCGACACAGGUGGGUAGGUAGAGUAUACUAAGGGGCGCGAGAUAACUCUCUCUAAGGAACUCGGCAAAAUAACUCCGUAACUUCGGGAGAAGGAGUGCCUUAUUUUAAGGUUGCAAUAACAAGAUCCAAGCAACUGUUUACCAAAAACACAGGUCUCCGCUAAGUCGUAAGACGAUGUAUGGGGGCUGACGCCUGCCCAGUGCCAGAAGGUUAAAGAAGUUGGUUAGCUAUUGCGAAGCUGAUGACUGAAGCCCUGGUGAACGGCGGCCGUAACAAUAACGGUCCUAAGGUAGCGAAAUUCCUUGUCGGGUAAGUUCCGACCCGCACGAAAGGCGUAAUGAUUUGGAUACUGUCUCGGAGAGGGGCUCGGUGAAAUAGACUUGUCUGUGAAGAUGCGGACUACCUGCACCUGGACAGAAAGACCCCAUGAAGCUUUACUGUAACUUGAAAUUGAAAUUGGACUUUAUUUGCGCAGUAUAGGUGGGAGGCGUUUGAAGAUAUUCUUGCGGGAAUGUUGGAGCCAUUAGUGAGAUACCACUCUUGUAAUGUUAGAUUUCUAACUUUGUACCAUAAUCUGGUCAAAGAACAGUUUCAGGCGGGCAGUUUGACUGGGGCGGUCGCCUCCCAAAUGGUAACGGAGGCGUACAAAGGUUUCCUCUGAACGUGUAGAAAUCGUAUCUAGAGUGUAAAGGCAUAAGGAAGCUUGACUGUGAGACCUACAAGUCAAGCAGGGACGAAAGUCGGUCUUAGUGAUCUGACGGUACUGAGUGGAAAGGCCGUCACUCAACGGAUAAAAGUUACUCUAAGGAUAACAGGCUGAUCUCCCCCAAGAGUUCACAUCGACGGGGAGGUUUGGCACCUCGAUGUCGGCUCAUCGCAUCCUGGGGCGGUAGUACGUCCCAAGGGUUGGGCUGUUCGCCCAUGAAAGCGGUACGCGAGCUGGGUUCAGAACGUCGUGAGACAGUUCGGUCCAUAUCCGGUGUAGGCGUUAGAAUAUUGAGAGGAGCCUUCUUUAGUACGAGAGGACCGAGAAGGACAUACCUCUGGUGUACCAGUUAUCGUGCCAACGGUAAACGCUGGGUAGCUAUGUAUGGAGAGGAUAACCGCUGAAAGCAUCUAAGUGGGAAGCCCACCUCGAGAUGAGUAUUCC